GGGCCCGCACAAGCGGUGGAGCAUGUGGUUUAAUUCGAUGAUACGCGAGGAACCUUACCAGGGUUUAAAUGCAGAACGACAGGGGUGGAAACACCCCCUUCUUCGGACGGACUGCAAGGUGCUGCAUGGUUGUCGUCAGCUCGUGCUGUGAAGUGUCGGGUUAAGUCCCAUAACGAGCGCAACCCCCAUUUCUAGUUGCCAGCGGUUCGGCCGGGGACUCUAGAGAAACUGCCAGCGUAAGCUGUGAGGAAGGUGGGGAUGACGUCAAAUCAUCACGGCCCUUACAUCCUGGGCCACACACGUGCUACAAUGGUGGGGACAACAGGUUGCCAACCCGCGAGGGUGAGCCAAUCCCAAAACCCCAUCUCAGUUCGGAUUGUAGGCUGCAACUCGCCUACAUGAAGUUGGAAUCGCUAGUAAUCGC
rnacentral:rRNA from 1 species